UUUACUAGAUGUCUAACAAAGCAUCAUUGUCACUAGUGGUGCAGAAAAAGUCAUUAAAGCAUCAUAAACGCCUUCACUGGAAGUUGGGGAAACAAGUCAGCAUGGAGGGGCUCACAUGGAUUGCACAAUGAAUCAGCCAGGUACAGAUGGGAAAGCACAUAAUAGCAGAUCUCUGUCGGUCUCAGGCAGACUGGCUCUUGAAUUUUAUGGAUUGAUAUAUCAGCUGAAAUUCACCAAGUGAUGGACAAGAUUUGUUACCAUGUGAAGAACCACAUGAAUGGGACUGAGAUGAUGACUAGCUGAACUAAAUGUCACAGCACUAGAACCUAGAUUCUUCAUCACUGGGCAGUAUCAUAGCUCUGUAUGGAGUUACCCUCUUGAAUUCAGUGGGAUCAAGAUUUCAGCCAUGGAAACUGCAAAGUGGAAAAAGAUGUUGCUUGACACUUUACACUGCAUUGAAGCAUUUUGAUAUUAUUGUAAUCCGGACUGCUGUGUUCUUCAGUACAGCAGUUAUUGCAGUGUUAUGAAGUACACCUGCUACUGUGUUUAUUUAUGUGUUUUAUUUCCCUCUUGUAUGGUUUAUGUAUUGUAUCAAUUAUUUGAGGUAUAGCAUAUGUAUAUGAAGAAAGAGAAUGUAUAUAAAAAUUUGCACUAAAAUGUGUGGAUCACAUCACAUCACCAUAUAUUCAUGAUGAAUUUGGACUGUAAAACCAAAUAUAAGAGUGGAUAAAAAAGAUUUGAUCAUUUCAAUUUUGAAACUGUCACUGCCCACAAAUACUGUGCUGACUUAUCUCUUAGUAAUUUACAUAGCUGUCUAUGCACUUCUUUAAGAUAAACCUACAAGAUUUACAAACAGAACAGCUCAAAGCAGUUGCAAAAUAAGGUCAAAUUUGUGAUGAUUUUAAGGAAAGUAGAAAUGGAGUAAAAAUGAUAGUAAGUAUUGCUAAUUCUAAUAAUACUAAUGACCAUGAUUAUAAAAAUAAUUAAUUUGCAUUUCAGGGAGAAGAGAUUUUCCCAAAAGAACUCAUGUUGUAUUGAAUUAAAUAGUGUUUGAACGUAACAAGGCAAUAUCUGAACACAACAUGGCAAAACUUUUGAAAACUUUUAAAGUGGGACAAGAAAAAUUAAUUUAUUUAUGAGGAACAUUUGUUUAUAUCCUUACUUUCAGUUUCAGAUUGAUCUGGAUGAAAAGCUGUAGAUUUUGGAUUUCCUCCAUAACUGAAUAGACCAGGGCUAAGCUACUCAGAAGAUUCA
rnacentral:lncRNA from 1 species